GCCGGGCGAGGUGGCGGGUGCCUGUAGUCCCAGCUACUCGGAAGGCUGAGGCAGGAGAAUGGCGUGAACCCGGGAGGCGGAGCUUGCAGUGAGCUGAGAUCUGGCCACUGCACUCCAGCCUGGGCGGCAGAGCCAGACUCCGUCUCAAAAAAAAAAAAAAAUGGAGUCUCGCUCUGUUGCCCAGGCUGGGGUGCAGUGGCGCAAUCUUGGCUCACUGCAAGCUCCGCCUCCUGGUUCAUGCCAUUCUCCUGCCUCAG
rnacentral:SRP_RNA from 1 species